rnacentral:tRNA from 1 species
AGGAGUUUAGGUUAUAACAAGACCAGAAGCCUUCAAAGCUUCAAGUAGGCGACCCACGCCUAACUCCUG